rnacentral:lncRNA from 1 species
UUUCUUUUGUUCUAGGGUUAAGCUUAAGCUUCUUUUGAUGAUGUACAUUAUGAUUUUCUUUCAAUUAACAUGGUAUCAGAGCUAAAUUGUUUUAUUUUGCAAUGAGGACAUUCGGUUCUAUUUGUUGUUUGGACUAGCAAAAGGAUUAGCCUCUGCUGCUGUGUUGUCUGGUAUAGCAUAAGAAAAAUGGUGUCGUUCUAGCAUAGAGAUUGGCUUUUGCUGAAAACAACGUCAUCGUCGUUGACUGUGUGUACAUGAAAGCAGCAAACAGCGUCGUUGUUGACCCUCUGCUGUAAACGGCAGCAGCUUCUGCUUUGCAAAUAUGAAACCCAUUUGAAGAUAAAGAAAACCCAAAAAGGGCGUUGGAUUUUGCUGCAAACGGCCUCGACGUCUGCGUCUGUUGAAAACGGCCGGCCUCGACAUUGACUAUACCAAAAUCUUGGAAACCCAUUUGAAGAUAAAGAAAACCCAGAAAGGGCGUUGGGUUUUGCUGCAAACAGCCUCGACGUCGACUACUGCUGAAAACGGCUUCGAUAUUGACGGAAAUUGGGAUUUCACUGCAACUGUGCUCUCGUCGUCGUUGUCGUCUGCCACUCGGUUGAUAUUUUCUUAAGUUAAGUUGGACGUCCUUUCCUCUUACCGAAUCCAACAACAGCAGUAAAAGGUUGGAUUUAUUUUGCUUUGUGAUAGGUCUUUUUAAUGUCAGGGGCGGUGGAGAAAUUAUGUAUUGUGUUUUAAUGUUGAUAAAUGAUUAUGGGGUUUAAUGUUGACAAAUGUUAUGAGCAAUCUGUA